AACGCGAAGAACCUUACCAGGUCUUGACAUCUAACGAACCAGUAAGAAAGUAUGGGGUGCCCUUCGGGGAGCGUUAAGACAGGUGGUGCAUGGUUGUCGUCAGCUCGUGUCGUGAGAUGUUGGGUUAAGUCCCGCAACGAGCGCAACCCUUAUGUUUAGUUGGUACGCAAGAGCACUCUAAACAGACUGCCGUUGACAAAACGGAGGAAGGUGGGGAUGAUGUCAAAUCAUCAUGCCCCUUAUGACCUGGGCUUCACACGUACUACAAUGGCUGUUAACAAAGGGAAGCAAGACAGUGAUGUGGAGCAAAUCCCCAAAAGCAGUCUCAGUUCGGAUUGUAGGCUGCAACUCGCCUACAUGAAGUCGGAAUUGCUAGUAAUCGCGGAUCAGCAUCCGA
rnacentral:rRNA from 1 species